rnacentral:rRNA from 1 species
AACGAACGCUGGCGGCGUGCUUAACACAUGCAAGUCGAACGCGAAAUUUUUCUUCGGAAAGAAAGUAGAGUGGCGCACGGGUGAGUAACGCGUAAGUAAUCUACCCUGGUAUCUGGGAUAACCCACCGAAAGGUGUGCUAAUACCGGAUACGCUGAGUAAUCAGGAAAGGUGGCCUCUUCACGAAAGCUACUGUACCAGGAGGAGCUUGCGUACCAUUAGCUAGUUGGUAGGGUAAUGGCCUACCAAGGCAACGAUGGUUAGCGGGUCUGAGAGGAUGAUCCGCCACACUGGAACUGGAACACGGACCAGACUCCUACGGGAGGCAGCAGUGAGGAAUAUUGCGCAAUGGGGGAAACCCUGACGCAGCGACGCCGCGUGGAUGAUGAAGGCCUUCGGGUCGUAAAAUCCUGUCAGAUGGAAAGAAGUGUAUAGGUGUUAAUAUCAUCUAUAUUUGACGGUACCAUCAAAGGAAGCACCGGCUAACUCCGUGCCAGCAGCCGCGGUAAUACGGAGGGUGCAAGCGUUGUUCGGAAUUACUGGGCGUAAAGCGCGCGUAGGCGGUUUUAUAAGUCAGAUGUGAAAGUCCACGGCUCAACCGUGGAAGUGCAUUUGAAACUG